rnacentral:rRNA from 1 species
UCCUAAAAAGCUAGCCCAACCUACAAAUUAAACAAUCCCCUUUAAAUUAAUUCACCACAAAACAACAAACAAAACAUUUUACCUCCCCAGUACUUAGGCGAUAGAAAAG